rnacentral:rRNA from 1 species
AGAGUUUGAUCCUGGCUCAGGACGAACGCUGGCGGCGUGCUUAACACAUGCAAGUCGAACGGAAAGGCCCUUCGGGGUACUCGAGUGGCGAACGGGUGAGUAACACGUGGGUGAUCUGCCCUGCACUUUGGGAUAAGCCUGGGAAACUGGGUCUAAUACCGAAUACACCUCGCUGGCCGCAUGGUCUGGUGGGGGAAAGCUUUUGCGGUGUGGGAUGGGCCCGCGGCCUAUCAGCUUGUUGGUGGGGUGAUGGCCUACCAAGGCGACGACGGGUAGCCGGCCUGAGAGGGUGACCGGCCACACUGGGACUGAGAUACGGCCCAGACUCCUACGGGAGGCAGCAGUGGGGAAUAUUGCACAAUGGGCGCAAGCCUGAUGCAGCGACGCCGCGUGGGGGAUGACGGCCUUCGGGUUGUAAACCCCUUUCAGCACAGACGAAGCGCGAGUGACGGUAUGUGCAGAAGAAGGACCGGCCAACUACGUGCCAGCAGCCGCGGUAAUACGUAGGGUCCGAGCGUUGUCCGGAAUUAUUGGGCGUAAAGGGCUCGUAGGCGGUUCGUCACGUCGGGAGUGAAAACUCGGAGCUCAACUCCGAGCCUGCUUCCGAUACGGGCAGACUAGAGGUAGGCAGGGGAGAGCGGAACUCCUGGUGUAGCGGUGGAAUGCGCAGAUAUCAGGAAGAACACCGGUGGCGAAGGCGGCUCUCUGGGCCUUACCUGACGCUGAGGAGCGAAAGCGUGGGUAGCGAACAGGAUUAGAUACCCUAGUAGUCC